AUUGAACGCUGGCGGCAUGCCUUACACAUGCAAGUCGAACGGCAGCACGGGAGCAAUCCUGGUGGCGAGUGGCGAACGGGUGAGUAAUAUAUCGGAACGUGCCCAGUCGUGGGGAUAACGUAGCGAAAGCUACGCUAAUACCGCAUACGAUCUAUGGAUGAAAGCGGGGGAUCGCAAGACCUCGCGCGAUUGGAGCGGCCGAUAUCAGAUUAGGUAGUUGGUGAGGUAAAGGCUCACCAAGCCGACGAUCUGUAGCUGGUCUGAGAGGACGACCAGCCACACUGGGACUGAGACACGGCCCAGACUCCUACGGGAGGCAGCAGUGGGGAAUUUUUGGACAAUGGACGCAAGUCUGAUCCAGCCAUUCCGCGUGCAGGAUGAAGGCCCUCGGGUUGUAAACUGCUUUUGUACGGAACGAAAGGUUCGUAUUAAUACUAGGAGACGUCAUGACGGUACCGUAACGAAUAAGACACCGGACGU
rnacentral:rRNA from 1 species